AGUUUAGAUUUAGUGUCAUUCUUUAGGAAUAAAAAGAUCCCUAAUACCUGAAAAGGCAUUCAUUCUACUUGGAUUGUUCAGAGUAAGAAUGCCAAUGCCAUUGUCUUCCUUCUGAAGGUCAAUGGAUCCACCAGGAAACUGCUGAAGUGUUUUUUUCACUUCUUCCUCAUAAAAUCCAUGGGAUGUACUAUAAAGUGACAAUCCUGUUUGAUGUAGCAAUUUUGUCCUUCCAGACAGAGAGGCUGUCUUCAAAAGACUUUUCGCCAUUUCUGGAAAACAGAAAUAAGUAUGCGGUAGUAUAGAUGAAUAGGCACUCACUUUUCUAAUAUUAUGUGUUAAUAGGCUGUAGUAAUGGACCCUUCUGUUGAGUUGGGAAUACUUCCCCAUUUCUUUUUUUUUUUUUUUUGAGACAAUUUCACCCUGUUGCCCAGGCUGGAGUACAGUGAAGCUCUCAGCUCACUGAAACCUCUGCCUCCCAGCUUCAAACGAUUCUCCUAUCUCAGCUUCCCAAUUACCUGAGACUACAGGCACCCAUGACCACGCCUGGCUAAUUUUUAUAUUUUUAGUAGAGGCAGGGUUUCACCAUGUUAACCAGGCUGGUCUCGAACUCCUGACCUCAAAUGAUCCACCCACCUCAGCCUCCCAAAGUGCUGGGAUUAUAGGCGUGAGCUGUCCCAUCUGGCCACUUCCCCAUUUCUAAAAGCACUCUUUCAGGAAAUGAUCAGUAUGGAAUUCCUUUCAUUUUUCCCUCCUUCUCAAACCAAAUAAUUCACAAAGCAUAUCAUUUCAGUAUAUAUCACUAAGAGACAAUGGCAUAAUUACAGUAUAUUUACUGUGCUCCAAUACAAUAGGAAAGCUUAGAAAAAAUGCUGCUCUGUAUUUUGCACCAUCUCCUGCCUCUAGGUAGUCUUUUGCAUCACAUGCUUCUUCAUUCUCCAACUCUUAACUUUUUUAAAAUCUAAGAAUAAAUAUAGUCCAAGUGUCCCCUUGGAAACAGCCUCUAUGCAGAAAUGCUGCAAGAGCAAUCCCACUCUCUAACAGAAGUUUUAUUCUUAGCAUUAUUCUUACCUUCUGCAAAGCUUUCAGGCAAAAAGCUGGAAAGGGUCCUAAGAAAAAUGGGGAGGGAAAUAGGAAUGUGUGUGUGGUUUUUCUGUUCCCCAAGGUUCUGUCACUUUUCUCCUCUUAAUUUUUACCUCCUGAGUAAUCUCAUCUCUGCCCAUAAGCUUUUCUUGCCCUAUGUAAACAUCCUUGUUGAUAUAAGAUUAUAUGCAAAAAAGUAUAUAAAAUAUAAGUUACAGUUCAAUGAAUUUUCACAAGGUGAAUACAUUCUAGUAAAUGGAACCCAAA
rnacentral:lncRNA from 10 species